GCUUGUUAGUCCCCCAGCUAAAUGGCCCCCAACGUCUGUGUUUUCGGGUUACUCUGGCUUCUUUCCCUCCAAUUCCUACAGACACCCACCUCCAGCCACACUCAUGCGAAACAGCAGCCCUCUUCCAAAAUCCCAGUACAAAUAAUAACGAUGAACAGUGCAUAAGAACUGAUAUUAUUGAGAGCUUUGCCAUAGACAAAUGCCAAGUGUCUUUUAUAUGAAUCAUCUUAUCUGGACUCAGCCCCUUGAGCUGGGUUUUGUUUAGUCCCAUUUUACAGGUGAAAACACUGAGACCACGAGGAGGUGAGGAACUUGCCCGAGGAAGCGGUGGAGCCGGACGGGAACCUGGUGCCACCUCUGAAGGCCGAGCUCUUAUCCAGGAGCCCAACCACCUCCCUGGAGGACCCGAGCAGCCGGGCAGGGAGCCCGUGGCACAUACAGAGGGAGGUCCAUUCUGCGCGUGCCCAGAACCCAGGUGCUGGGCUCUGGGACCAGGAAGGCUUCCUCCUUGCUGCCCGGAGUGACGGUGCCUCCAGCACUUGGUCAGGGCCCUGGCUCCCGGCUCUCUAUGGGACGCUGCUCUCUGCAGCCAGGGCUUCCUGUGCUGGGCACUGCAUGACCAGGCAACCCGCAGCUUCUGACUUUAGAAAAGGAUGCUUCUGGAAGCCACAGAACCAUGUGUGCCCAGCCUUGUGGGUCUCAGCUAGAUGCUUCAUUGACUCUAUCCGUGAAUCCGGGAUUGACUCAUCUCUAAUCUGUGAAAUGGGUACAAUAUGGACCCAAUCAGAGUCACUGGGCACAGAAGUUCAGCUCGGGGUGGCAAAGCUCUAGAUGUUUGCAAUCCAUCCCCGCCCUCCUCCACUCCCCUGCCCAGGACCUAGCUCCAUUCUGGGACCGCAGAUGGAGGGCCCGCAGCCGGGCAAGGAGACAACGGAGCUAGGUGAGGACCACGACGCACAAGGCGCCUCUCCAGUCACGGAGCCCUCCCAAGUCUGCUGGAAAGCUAAGACUUUUACAUGAAACAACAGGACCCUGGGAUCUAUUAUGUCCAUUGAUUAGACAAUCUGCCUGAGGCUCCUAGAAGGCUGAUGCUUCUGGGAAAUGGGUGAAUCCAAUAAUGGCUGCAGAGAAACAGAAUUCAAGAGACAGAACUUGGGACCGGAAAUGCAUCUCGAUGUCUGUUGGGAAAGCCGGGACACAGCAGGCGGGAGCAGCAUUGCCUGAUGACGCCUUCCUGCCCACCGCACCCUCCUGUAGGGCGUUUGUCCACACCGGCCCUGCUCACCUGCCAGCCACGGAUGCCUUCACGUGCGGGGCACACCGGCCCCCAUGCAAAUCUAGCCAGGCUGAUCCCUGCCCCGGCAGCUGAAAGUCUCCUAAUAAACAAGUGUUGGUUUGCCGAACAGGAGAGACCCUUGACAUCAGGGGUAGAACUUUCUGGGAGGAAAACACUUCAUUUCCAGGGCAAGUGUUGCUCAGCUGCUCUGAGACUCAAACAUGUUCUCAGCCUCACUGUCAGCAGGGCUGCAGGACACCAGCCACAGGAGGAGGAGGCAGCAUGGGUGUGUCCAGCUUCUGGGGCGGUGUGGGGUUGGGGGGCAGCUCAAAGAGCACUGGACCAGGAGUCCUGAGACCCAAAUGAGAGAGCACUAACAACAACAAUAAUAAUAACGAUAACCAGAUGCUUGUUUGUUUAUUGAGGGCUUACUAUGUACCGGGCAUGGUCGGAACAUCUGGUGCACCCAGCCCUUUGAAGAAAUUUUCUACCGUUCCCAAUUUGCAAAAGGGGAAAUAAGGCUCAGGAGGUUGGAGAUGAUAGGAAGGCUUCCCUGCAGAAGUGGUACUCUGCCUGGAGUCUGAAGGAUGAAUUAGAUGUUAAGUAAGUGAGGAGGGGGAGGGAAAAACAUUGUAGCCAGCAGGGACAGCAUGUGCAAAGGGCCUGUGGUGGGCAUAAAUCUGGUGAGGCUGAACCCCGAGAGGAACAAGUUCCAUGUGUCUGGAGGGAGGGGUACUGUGGGUUACAGGGAGCUGACAGGGGCUCGUCCCUGUGGCUCCUGUGGGGUUUGGGCCUUCAUUCUAAGACCUCAGAAGCCAUGAAAUCUUUAAAGAAAGAUGUGACAGGCUCAGAUCUGGGUUUUUGAAAGCUCCCUCUGGUGACCCCAGAGUUGGGUGGACAGUGGCCUCAGGACGGGAAUGCAUACAGCUGAGACUUCAUGUCAACCAAUCUUGCCCAGGGCAGCCCCAGGGGGAGGCUGGGACCUGCAUAGCCUGUUAGGAGGCAGGGAGCCAGGAGCCUCCCUUACCCCCAAGCUGGUGGGCUCAUUUACAUGAUCCCAGCUUAAUUCUCCCAGGGUAUGCAAAUGUAUGCAAACCACGAUCCAGGAGAGGCAAAAAUAGCAGGGCGCAUUAGCAUCCCCCACAGGAAUAUUGUUUUAUGCAAAAGACGAGCUUGGGGCCUGCUGAGUGGGCGGCAAUGGAAGAUGCCAGGGAGUCCAACCUCCCGGCCUGUGCCCUCCAGGGUCCGGGCCAGGUCCCAGCUGCCAGGGAGGUUCCAGGGUCCAGGGACAGGUGGUGGACGGAGGGCCCUGGCUGCCCAGUGUCCAGGGCCCAGGUAGGGUCUCCAGGCUGGGAGGACCCCUGACCUCAGGGCCGCACUUGCCCUGGCCUGGCCUCCACCUUCUGACGGUCUGGGGUCUUGUCUUCCUCCCUCCCAUCUUCCCCGUCUGGUUUCUCCCCUGUCUGCUCUCUCAGCAAUCUCAGCUUCCUCUUUGCUUCUCUCUGAUCUUUUUUUUUUUCUCUUCUCAGCUUCCUCCAGCCCUUCCUUUUCGGUGGCUUCUCUCCGCCCAACCUCCUGGUGCCUCUCCCCUGAGAAUUCGCUCUGAGGUCCUUCUCUUGGUAUUUGUCUCUCUCUGGGUCUCCAACUCCAACACGACUCUCUCUGUCUCUGUGACUCCCUGUCCGUUUUUCCUUAUCUGUCUCUGAGAUUUCCUGUCUCCCCUUGUCUCUGUCUCUCCAUCUCUCUCUGCUUCUGUCUGUCUGUCUGUCUUGAUAUGCAUCUUUCCCUGCCUGCUGUCUUUCUGGCUCUGCUGGUCCCUCUCUGUUUUGUUUGAAUUUGUUUCUCUGUGUCUUUCUGGCUCCCUUGUUCUCUUUCUGUUGCUGCCUCUAUGCUGUCUCUGCUCUUUUUACUUCAUAACCUUUCCGUGGCUUUUUCUCUGUAGUUCUCACCCCAGCAUCCUCUUCCUUCAGGGCAUCCUGGAGAGCAUUCAGGGACGGGCAGCAGCAUCCCUGAGCUCAUGUCUGGUCCAGGACCCAUGUGGAGAGGUGCAGGGACCCCUCCACACACCUCCAAGUUCCAGUGGGCACCAGACCCCCGACUGCAACCCAGUCCAGCCAGCUGUGGAGGCCAGUCUGGACAGCUCUGGGUUUUGGGAAGAGGCUGGGUCUUUCCAGAUCCCUGGAAGCCUAGGUCUGGCUUAAGUCAGGUCAUACUGGCUGGGAGUUGCCUGAGACUGGGGUACUGGGGAGAGAGGGCAGGAAUCAGCCAGAUCCUCUCUGGACAAGAGCAAGUUCUGGCAACAGACACUUCUCAGCUGUGCAACCUCUGUAAAUGGCUUCCUCUUCCUGAUCCUCAGUUUCCAUCUCUUUAAAAUGGGUUGAUCCUGGUGUCCAAGCCUCAGCCUUGUUGUGGGACUGGCCAGCUGCAUUGGCAUCAUUUGCGAUGUGUAGCGACACUCAGUAAAUACUCUCUACAACAGUUAUUGUUAUCAUCCUCGCUCCUGUGGUUCCACUUAAGCUCUCUGUGCCUCAGCCUCCUCAUCUGAAAAAUGGGGAGAGUAGUUCUCACAUCAUUGGGCAGU